UUGUCGAUGUCGUUAAUAAUGUCGGUCGAUAAACUAAGUAAGUGCGAUUCUAUAUCAUUGCUGUCGAUGAAUAUUUGACGAUAUUUAUCAUUAAUGACAACUAUCGUUAACUUUAAUGUAAUCCCCUAUAAGUGAUGAAAACGUCGUACCGACACAUUUGAACUUAUUAAUGAUAACUAAAAAUAGUAAAAACCUGCGUCACUUAUUAAGCAAAUUGAAGGCAUUAUAAAAUUUUUAGCGUGGGAUUAAAUAUAUUUGGAGCAUCGAUUAAGACGCGUUUUGAACGUGUUCAAAGAAAAGAAUGGCGAGACAUGCAUGAUCUCUUUGAUCUUCAUUACACGAAAUUUCUUAUAAUAACGAAAGUUAUACCAAGUUAAUACAGAGAUUGCAAUGAAUUUGAUUGAUAUAAUGGAUUUGAUUGAUAUUAAGAUGAAAAUUAGAACUUGAAUGGCAACAUGGUCUUAUCCAGAAUGUCAGAUAUUAACAACUCUGCGAUUUUAUGCUGUUUCCAAGGUGUAAUUGAAGAACAAUGGGAUAUAAUUAAGGCAGCCAUCAGUCAUUGCACAUGAAGAGUCAUAAAUGAUAUUCUGCUGUGACAAUGAGUACAAUUUCCCACGACUGACGCCAAACAGCCCAGGAAAAAUUUUAAAAUGCUCCUCAACUGUUUAUAGGCAAUUGGGGCAAUUGAUUGCACUUAUAUUAAUAUAAAAGAACCUAAGGAAUACGAAGAAACAUGUGAAUCAUUGGGGUGAUCAUGCACUCAAUGUUCAAGUUAUAUCCAGGAGCAAAACAUGAUGUGUACAUUUGGUCCAAUUCUCUUGUGCAACAUAUCAUGAAACGAAGAUAUAAUAACGGAGAAUACUUGAUUAAAAGGCGAUGGAUACAGCCUAGAGCCAUGGCUAAUGACUUCUCUAAAACAUGAAAAAUCAAAUAUGCCUAGGUUCCAAUACAAUGAGAAUUUGUGCAGUGCUAGGUCAUGUAUAAAACGCUUUGAUGUUUGGAAAGCAAUGUUUCGAUGUCUAACGACUCAGAGGAGAUUAAUAUAUGAACCAGGCAUGGCUGGCAAAAUUAUUAAUGCAUGUGCUGUGUUGCACAACAUGAGGAUUGCACAUGGUAUACAUGAUGAUCUGGAAAUAGACGAAAUGGACAAUGAACACUUAGAUCAUAGGAUUAAUCCAGUUGUAGAGCAUGAAGAUUUCGAGGAGCACUUGCCGCAAGUAUACAGGAACGAUUUAUUAUUCGCCACUAUGGAAGAAAUUAACUUAUCAUUUUUAUUCUUCUUUCCUUCCCAUGAAAUAAAGGACUCUGAUUGGUUGAAUUUCUUAUGUCCCAUGCAUUUUACAUUAAAAAAAAAAAGCGUGUGCUCCUCACUUUACUGUAUAAAUCAAGUUAGUUUAUGCAAAAAAUAGUAUAAAAAACAUAGA